rfam:Sphaeroforma arctica JP610 cont1.17246, whole genome shotgun sequence.
GGGUUUGUGUCCGAGUGGUUAUGGAGCUGCACUCGAAAUGCAGUGGCGUCUCGCCGCGCGAGUUCAAAUCUCGUCAAGCCAA